ACGAACGCUGGCGGCGUGCUUAACACAUGCAAGUCGAACGGAAAGGCCCUGCUUUUGUGGGGUGCUCGAGUGGCGAACGGGUGAGUAACACGUGAGUAACCUGCCCUUGACUUUGGGAUAACUUCAGGAAACUGGGGCUAAUACCGGAUAGGAGCUCCUGCUGCAUGGUGGGGGUUGGAAAGUUUCGGCGGUUGGGGAUGGACUCGCGGCUUAUCAGCUUGUUGGUGGGGUAGUGGCUUACCAAGGCUUUGACGGGUAGCCGGCCUGAGAGGGUGACCGGCAACUGGGGGAUGGAGAACGGCCCAGGCCCCCACGGGGGGGAAGAGGGGGGAAAUAUGGAAAAGGGGGGGGAGCCUGGACCCAGCACCGCCGCGGGGGGAAGGAGGGCUUUGGGGUUGAAAACGCUUUGCGCCGGGGAAGAGGGGGGGGGGAGGUGAGGGGAUAAAGAAGCCCGGGCAAACUACUUC
rnacentral:rRNA from 1 species